rnacentral:rRNA from 1 species
AAGCCUUGGGUAGCCGCAAAUAGGCUGAGAUCCAGGGAUUUCCGAAUGAGGAAACUCACAUGGGUAACCCCAUGUAUCAUGCACUGAAUACAUAGGUGUAUGAGGGUAAACCCGGGGAACUGAAACAGCUAAGUACCCGGAGGAAGAGAAAGAAAAAUCGAUUUCCUAAGUAGCGGCGAGCGAACGGGAAAGAGCCCAAACCAGAAACUUGUUUCUGGGGUUGUGGAUAGAUCAU